GCAGCUACCAAGUUUGGCCAGGCAUACUCUCAAACGCUGGCACCCCACAGCUUCCCACCACAGGCUUCGCUCUCCAACCAGGUGAAUCAAACACCGUCCCCGUGCCAACUUCCUGGUCUGGCCGUUUAUGGGGUCGCACUCUCUGCACCCAAGAUGCCAACACUGGCAAAUUCACUUGCCUGACCGGUGACUGCGGCUCCUCUACUAUCCAAUGCUCCGGAAACGGCGCUGCCCCUCCUGCCACCCUAGCAGAAUUCACACUUAAUGGAGCUGACGGGCUGGACUUCUACGAUGUCAGCCUUGUCGAUGGAUACAACCUGCCAAUGCUAAUAGAACCACAAGGGGGCACUGGAGGUAAUUGUACGAUGACCGGCUGCGGUGCGAGCUUGAACAAUGCAUGCCCGUCGGAGCUGAAGGUAAUGGACAGUGAAAACGGGGAGAGCGUGGCGUGUAAGAGCGCGUGUGACGCUUUUGGGGACCCGCAAUAUUGCUGCAGUGGAGCAUACGCGAACCCUAAUACAUGCAAGGCCAGCUCUUACUCGGAGUUCUUUAAAAAUGCUUGUCCUCGAGCUUACAGCUAUGCCUAUGACGAUGGAACCAGCACUUUUACUUGUGCAGGAGCAAACUACGCCAUCACAUUCUGUCCUUCUCCUUCUUCUACCAGUCUGAAGUCGGCAAAUGGGCAGUAUCCAGAAGCUGUGGAAGUCUCAGCCGGCACUCAUAGGACGUCACCCUAUCUGAUUGGCGGUGCCAUCACCAUUUUGGCGGCAAAUUGGAGAUUGUGGCAGCUGUUCUUUUGACCAUGCCAUUCACCACUUGCAAAAACAGGCCAAGCCCUUUUCUCACCUGCACAAAUUCAACAAUCCUCUUAUCGCCCAGCAAUCAGAUGUAAAUAUACCGAUGAACUUGAAGUGGGUCAUGACCUUAUGUGCUUUACGAAUCUAAUAUGAUGAAAUUGGAAGCUGGCCUGCAUUUUGUGUGAUGUCUCGUUUGUUGCCCAACUUGGAGAAAGAUUUUGGGAGUUACAAUAUGAUUUGUGAUGAAAAGGAAUUGAUGGAAAUUGGGAAUGUAUCACAACACAAUGGACAAAAGGGGUUGCCUGCAUCAGCAGUCACGUUUCUGAUUUGGAAAGGGACACAGAAACAGAGACAUCAUAGUUGCAGAAUCAAAUGAAAGCAUAACAGCAAGUGGAUGCAUUAAUUUAAUUUUCCCUAUUGAUUUGCGGAUGUAAUAUUUUAUUUUUG
rnacentral:misc_RNA from 1 species